CCUACGGGUGGCAGCAGUAGGGAAUUUUGGACAAUGGGGGAAACCCUGAUCCAGCGACGCCGCGUGCGGGAUGAAGGCCUUCGGGUUGUAAACCGCUUUUGUCACCGAGGAAUUUCUGACUGUAGGUGACGAAUAAGAGGUUGCUAACUCUGUGCCAGCAGCAGCGGUAAUACAGAGACCUCGAGCGUUAUCCGGAAUUAUUGGGCGUAAAGCGUACCGAUCGGCGGUAUAAUAAGUCUGCUGUAAAAUCCCACGGCUUAACCGUGGACGCGCAGUGGAUACUGUUAUGCUUGAGGGACAUAGAGGUGCCUGGAACGAAUGGAGUAGCAGUGAAAUGCGUUGAUACCAUUCGGAACACCAAAAGCGAAGGCAGGGCACUGGAUGUCACCUGACGCUGCUAGGACGAGAGCGUGGGGAGCGAAUGGGAUUAGAUACCCCAG
rnacentral:rRNA from 1 species